CGCAUAUUGCGCCCUUUGGUAUUCCGAGGGGCAUGCCUGUUCGAGCGUCAUUUCAAACCAUCAAGCAUAGCUUGGCAUUGGGAAUAAGCCUGGUCUAGCUAGGCUCCUCAAAAGAGUUGGCAACCGACCGAAAAUCUCAGACGUACCACAACUGAAUAAGUUUUCGUUUGGUGGUUAUUCGUGUCGUUGUCUUGUUUUUUUAAUAUCUCGAUUGACCUCGAAUCAGGUAGGGAUACCCGCUGAACUUAA
rnacentral:misc_RNA from 1 species